rnacentral:rRNA from 1 species
GAUGAACGCUGGCGGCGUGCCUAACACAUGCAAGUCGAGCGAACAGACGAGGAGCUUGCUCCUCUGACGUUAGCGGCGGACGGGUGAGUAACACGUGGAUAACCUAUCUAUAAGACUGGGAUAACUUCGGGAAACCGGAGCUAAGACCGGAUAAUAUAUUGAACCGCAUGGUUCAAUAGUGAAUGACGGUUUUGCUGUCACUUAUAGAUGGAUCCGCGCCGCAUUAGCUAGUUGGUAAGGUAACGGCUUACCAAGGCAACGAUGCGUAGCCGACCUGAGAGCGUGAUCGGCCAGACUGGAACUGAGACACGGUCCAGACUCCUACGGGAGGCAGCAGUAGGGAAUCUUCCGGAAGGGGCGAAAGCCGAACGGAGCAAAGCCGCGUGAGUGAUGAAGGUCUUCGGAUCGUAAAACUCUGUUAUUAGUGAAGAACAAAUGUGUAAGUAACUAUGCACGUCUUGACGGUACCUAAUCAGAAAGCCACGGCUAACUACGUG